rnacentral:snoRNA from 1 species
AAGGGACAUCUAUCUCAGGAAAGGAAAAUGUUUUAAGUUAAAUAAUAGGACUUGCUAUAGCAAGGAAGUCGAACCUAUUCUUAUGUCUUCAUUUCCAUGAGACAAGUCAUUAUAUAGACUUAAACAGU